rnacentral:rRNA from 1 species
UACAGAGGGUGCGAGCGUUGUUCGGAAUUAUUGGGCGUAAAGGGCGCGUAGGCGGUGCGGUAAGUCACCUGUGAAAGUCCAGGGCUCAACCCUGGAAUGCCGGUGGAUACUGUCGGGCUAGAGUCCGGAAGGGGCGAGUGGAAUUCCUGGUGUAGCGGUGAAAUGCGCAGAUAUCAGGAGGAACACCAAUGGCGAAGGCAGCUCGCUGGGACGUGACUGACGCUGAGACGCGAAAGCGUGGGGAGCAAACAGG